rnacentral:rRNA from 1 species
CAGUCGAACGAAGCACUUAUCUUUGAUUCUUCGGAUGAAGAGGUUUGUGACUGACUGUCGGACGGGUGAGUAACGCGUGGGUAACCUGCCUCAUACAGCGGGAUAACAGUUAGAAAUGACUGCUAAUACCGCAUAAGACCACGGAGCUGCAUGGCUCAGUGGGAAAAACUCCGGUGGUAUGAGAUGGACCCGCGUCUGAUUAGGUAGUUGGUGGGGUAACGGCCUACCAAGCCGACGAUCAGUAGCCGACCUGAGAGGGUGACCGGCCACAUUGGGACCGAGACACGGCCCAAACUCCUACGGGAGGCAGCAGUGGGGAAUAUUGCACAAUGGGGGAAACCCUGAUGCAGCGACGCCGCGUGAGCGAAGAAGUAUUUCGGUAUGUAAGCUCUAUCAGCAGGGAAGAAAAUGACGGUACCUGACUAAGAAGCACCGGCUAAAUACGUGCCAGCAGCCGCGGUAAUACGUAUGGUGCAAGCGUUAUCCGGAUUUACUGGGUGUAAAGGGAGCGUAGACGGCUGUGUAAGUCUGAAGUGAAAGCCCGGGGCUCAACCCCGGGACUGCUUUGGAAACUAUGCAGCUAGAGUGUCGGAGAGGUAAGUGGAAUUCCCAGUGUAGCGGUGAAAUGCGUAGAUAUUGGGAGGAACACCAGUGGCGAAGGCGGCUUACUGGACGAUGACUGACGUUGAGGCUCGAAAGCGUGGGGAGCAAACAGGAUUAGAUACCCUGGUAGUCCACGCCGUAAACGAUGACUACUAGGUGUCGGGGAGCAAAGCUCU